CACUCAGUUUGGGACCGGAGCAAAGGCCGGAACCAUUGCUUAACCUGAGCGCAUCCAACGCACCCAGCAGAUCAGCUCCUAAAUGCAUCACGUGAACAUGGAUAUACGCUCAGAUCGAGGUCAUAUAACGAGAUGCUCCGACUAACAUCUGAUGCACCGGAUUCCUGGGAGCGUGCCGUGGGCUCAGCAGCACUGCCAGCACCCUGCAGAAUGUCUCGGUGCUGCAGCGGGGCUGCACUCAUUGCUAACGCAAUGGGGAUUGCUUUCCAAAGGAAGAGCAAAGAAAGCAUCGCCUGGCAAAAUUUUAAAGCAGCAAGGAGCGUUUUUAACAAGGAAGAGGUAGAUUAUGGUAAUGACUCUGACUGGUAGGGUCCUUAAGCAUUACUAAUUAGCAUUUAUUGCCUGGAUUAUUGAAACAAUGUGUGUGUUCCCAAGAGUGAAGAAGAACCGGGAUGCUCUUUCCUUCCGAGCGCUGGGAACGGGGCCGGGCAGCAGCGCUGUGCAGUUGGCAGUGGGUGAGCAGAGCUGCACGGUGCCAGCAGGAACCCACAGCCCCGCCAGCUGCUCCACCUCACAGCCGCGCUCCGCUCUGCUCCCAGGAAAGAAAAAAAAAAAACCCCAAAAUAAUAAUUAAAAAAUAGGGCAGCACAAAAGGAAAGCGGCCAUUAAAGCGCUCAACGCAUUUGGCAGGAGGAGCAGGUGAGCGUUUACCUGAUACUCUGCCUUCUGUUCCUACCGGGGCUGUGCGCAAACGGAUUAUGAAUAAACAUUUCAUCACGUUAAAGCACUGAGAAAUGAAAGAGUUAACAGCACUGACAGCAAGAGGUGCAGAAUUCUGCCAUUUGCAGCGAGCGCUCGGCUGCCUCGAGAUGACUUUGAGGCUGCAGUCAGAUUUCCUCCUAAGCUGCGCCUUCAUAGCAACAAAGAUUUAUAAGGAGAAUGAAGUUUUGAAUUAGAAAUCAAUUAGAAAUUAAUCGAUCAUCUAAUCAGCACUGGUCGCUACGCUCAGCUAUAGGAUCUCAGCUACAAUUUGGUGGCUGGCCCAAAAAAAUCCUUAUGCGCUUUGGAAAUGAUUCAGAAGGAAAAGACAGAGUUUCCUCCAGGUUUGGAGCCACGAGGCCAUGCAGCCUCACGUUAAAGCAAAAGGGCAGCGAUGGAAGAAAGGUGCAGAAAGCCUUGGAUUAUUUUUAUCCUCUAUGUCUUUUUACAGCCACCAAACCCGAGCGCCUUUCAACUUGGGAAAGCAAGUUCCAACUCAGCUGCAAGGAGGUCAGACUCCCAGAGCUGGAUGCUCCAGCUGCUGCUCAGACAGAACUCCCACAUAUCGGAG
rnacentral:lncRNA from 1 species